AGAGAAUUGGUCGAGUGGUUUAUGGCGGUUAUCUUGAAAAUAACUAAAGAUGUGUCUUUCAUGGGUUCGAAUCCCAUAUUCUCUG
rnacentral:tRNA from 1 species